rnacentral:rRNA from 1 species
ACUGAACGCUGGCGGCGUGCUUAACACAUGCAAGUCGAACGCGAAAGGGACUUCGGUCCUGAGUAAAGUGGCGCACGGGUGAGUAACGCGUGGAUAAUCUGCCCUUAUGAUCGGGAUAACAGUUGGAAGCGGCUGCUAAUACCGGAUACGCUCAAAAUGAACUUUUUGAGGAAAGAUGGCCUCUGCUUGCAUGCUAUCACGUAAGGAUGAGUCCGCGUCCCAUUAGCUUGUUGGCGGGUAACGGCCACCAAGGCAACGAUGGGUAGCCGAUUUGAGAGGAUGAUCGGCCACACUGGAACUGAAACACGGUCCAGACUCCUACGGGAGGCAGCAGUGGGGAAUAUUGCGCAAUGGGCGAAAGCCUGACGCAGCGACGCCGCGUGAGGGAUGAAAAGGUUUUCGGAUCGUAAACCUCUGUCAGAAGGGAAGAAACUACGUUGUGCUAAUCAGCAGCGUACUGACGGUACCUUCAAAGGAAGCACCGGCUAACUCCGUGCCAGCAGCAGC